GAUGAACGCUGGCGGUAUGCUUAACACAUGCAAGUCGAACGGACUCUUCGGAGUUAGUGGCGGACGGGUGAGUAACGCGUGAGAAUCUGGCUUUGGGUUCGGGACAACCACUGGAAACGGUGGCUAAUACCGGAUGUGCCGAGAGGUAAAAGAGAAAUUGCCUGAAGAUGAGCUCGCGUCUGAUUAGCUAGUUGGUGAGGUAAAGGCUCACCAAGGCAGCGAUCAGUAGCUGGUCUGAGAGGAUGACCAGCCACACUGGGACUGAGACACGGCCCAGACUCCUACGGGAGGCAGCAGGGGGGAAUUUUCCGCAAUGGGCGAAAGCCUGACGGUGCAAUACCGCGUGAGGGAAGAAGGCUCUUGGGUUGUAAACCUCUUUUCUUAGGGAAGAACAAAAUGACGGUACCUAAGGAAUCAGCAUCGGCUAACUCCGUG
rnacentral:rRNA from 1 species